AUAGGGUAACGGAUGACUGCUAGGAAACUAGAGGAAAGUCCGGGCACCAUAGAGCAAGAUGCUGGAUAACAUCCAGGCGCAGUAAUGCGACGGAAAGUGCAACAGAGAGUAAACCGCCGUGCAAACGGUAAGGGUGAAAGGGUGGGGUAAGAGCCCACCGUGUUUUUGGUGACAAGAACAGCAAGGUAAACCCCAUCUGGUGCAAGACCAAGUAGAACCUGGUCUUUUUGACCCCAUGCGGCUCGCAUUGGUUCGGGUAGGUUGCUUGAGGCUGCUGGUAACAGUGAGCCCAGAUAGAUAGUCAUCGCUAGUUUACUAGUACAGAACCCGGCUUAUAGUUACCCUUUUAUU
rnacentral:RNase_P_RNA from 1 species